AACUCUCAACCCCCUCAUUUUGUAAUGAAAUGAGUUGUGGGCUUGGUUUAUGGCUGUUGCCGGCUUAAGUGCCGACUCAGCUGAAAUACACGAGCAACCCAGUUUGAAUACUUGACGGCUUGACUCGGCGUAAUAACUAUUUCGCUGAGGACGUCUAACCUUUAAAUCGUUAGUGGUGCUUCUAAUGCAUUUAUAAUUUAAGC
rnacentral:misc_RNA from 1 species